GGGGGCGACUGGCUUCGACGGAGUCGCUGAAGGGAGGUUUGCCCGCCGAGGUCCCCAUCACACCUCGUUAAACCGUUGGGAACCAAAAGAAACGCAGACGACUAUUCGUAUGCGAUGGCUGCCUAACAUCUGUUAGGGCAAGCCCGACAGUCCGUCGGCCCGCCUUCGGCGGACGGCUGAUCGUCGAGAAUGAAGGCUAGUCGGAGGUAGCGCCCGAGGAUCUCCGGCAAAACUAAAUCGGGAUAGUCGUGACGGCAGCCUGUCGUUCGGCGGCCGACACGGCGAAUAAAAAAAGAUCGACUAUGCGGGUAGACGGCCUCUUAUAGGCACUUUCGGACGGGGGUUCGAUUCCCCCCGCCUCCACCA
rnacentral:tmRNA from 1 species